UCCUGGUUAACCCAGGCAGUCUCACUAGAGUUCCCACCAUUACGUGCUGGCAACUAAUGAUAAGGGUUGCGCUCGUUGCGGGACUUAACCCAACACCUCACGGCACGAGCUGACGACAGCCAUGCAGCACCUGUGCAGCGGCCCUCGCGGGAAACGCUAUUUCUAGCGUCGUCCACUGCAUGUCAAGUCUGGGUAAGGUUCUUCGCGUUGCAUCGAAUUAAACCACAUGCUCCACUGCUUGUGCGGGUCCCCGUCAAUUCUUUUGAGUUUCACCCUUGCGAGCGUACUUCCCAGGCGGUAUACUUAUCGCGUUAGCUUCGGCACAGCCAGGGUUGAGUCCGGCUACACCAAGUAUACAUCGUUUACGGCAAGGACUAC
rnacentral:misc_RNA from 1 species